rnacentral:rRNA from 1 species
GACAGAGGGUGCAAACGUUGUUCGGAAUUACUGGGCGUAAAGCGCGUGUAGGCUGCUUCGAAAGUCGGAUGUGAAAGCCCUGGGCUCAACCUAGGAAGUGCAUUCGAAACUUCGAAGCUGGAGUCCUGGAGAGGAAGGCGGAAUUCCAGGUGUAGCGGUGAAAUGCGUAGAUAUCUGGAGGAACACCGGUGGCGAAGGCGGCAUCCUGGACCGGCAUUGACGCUGAGGAGCGAAAGCCAGGGGAGCAAACGGG